CACAAGAUACCAGCUCUGAAAUGCAACGAAGAACCAAUAUGGCAAACCCCUAAAACACCAUGGAGUUCACCAACCUAGCAAGAAACCACAAUGGCAAAGCAGCUCAAAGCAAACGCAAGACAGCAAAAUGGAUCUCAGGGCAUCACAGGCAGGACGCCACAACUAGAAAUUUAGUGCAGAAUAACCAGCAUACCAUCUCAUUUCCUCAUAACCAGGUCCAAGAGUGCAGCAAAAUACCACCACAACCAAAAAGCGAAGCAGAGUCAGCCAAAUGGUGAGGACCCUCCAGGUCGACCGGAACCAGAACCUACUUACAUCUUCCCUACUAGCGUUGUCUCAGAACCACAAAACGGUUAACGGCUGCUCCCAGGCAUUCGACGAAGCCAAGUUUCCUUCCAUGCUGG
rnacentral:lncRNA from 1 species